rnacentral:rRNA from 1 species
AGAGUUUGAUCAUGGCUCAGGAUGAACGCUAGCGGCAGGCUUAAUACAUGCAAGUCGAGGGAUGCCAGCAAUGGUAGACCGGCAAACGGGUGCGUAACACGUACACAACUUUCCGUCAAGUGGGGCAUAGCCCGGGGAAACCCGGAUUAAUACCCCAUAAAAUAUAGGCUGCGGCAUCGCAGUAAUAUUAAAGCUCCGGCGCUUGAUGAUGGGUGUGCGGCUGAUUAGGUAGUUGGCGGGGUAACGGCCCACCAAGCCUUCGAUCAGUAGCUGAUGUGAGAGCAUGAUCAGCCACACGGGCACUGAGACACGGGCCCGACUCCUACGGGAGGCAGCAGUAAGGAAUAUUGGUCAAUGGGCGCAAGCCUGAACCAGCCAUGCCGCGUGGAGGAUGAAGGUCCUCUGGAUUGUAAACUUCUUUUAUUUGGGACGAAAAACGGGGAUUCUUCCUCACUUGACGGUACCAGAUGAAUAAGCACCGGCUAACUCCGUGCCAGCAGCCGCGGUAAUACGGAGGGUGCAAGCGUUAUCCGGAUUCACUGGGUUUAAAGGGUGCGUAGGCGG